AAAAACGGGCCUCUUAGGUGUGAGGAAGCCCGAGAUACCAGAAAAUUCAGUAAUGGAUGGUGCCUUAACUGUGUCUCUCCCAGCACACUCAGAGUGCUUUUCCAGUCGCCCCUGGAGGCAGACAUGGCUCGCAGAUCUCUGCUCCCCGAUGCCCAACACCACCAAGGAUUGAUUCGGAAGGAAUUUGCAGUGAAUGGCAGUGACCUGCUUGUUAGAUGGACUGCUGAAGACCUUGCUUCCAUCCAACUUUCCAUGAACGCAUUCCUCGAUCAGCUUUCCCUGGUGAUUCGGAACAUUCGGAGACUUGGGCUCCCACGUCGCCAAAGCCUAAGCUGAGGAGAGGGGCUGAGGCCUAACCUUGUGUCCCCUACUCAGUGGGCAUAGGGGAUUCAACCUAAGAGUCAUUGCCACUUUGUUAUUUGAGUGUAAGUUUUUGCCUGUACUGGCCUUUGGCCUCUCUUGGUUCACUUGCUUUGUUUCCCUGCUGCUUGAGGAGUGGGAUGCUUCAGUGUUUAUUACAGCAGAAAAUAAAGCUAAGUCACUUUUUGCGCCCCA